rnacentral:rRNA from 1 species
GGGAUUGCCCUAGUAACGGCGAGUGAAGCGGCAACAGCUCAAAUUUGAAAUCUGGCCCUAGGCCCGAGUUGUAAUUUGCAGAGGAUGCUUUUGGUUAGGUGCUUACCGAGUCCCCUGGAAUGGGGCGCCACAGAGGGUGAGAGCCCCGUAUGGUUUGCCACCGAGCCUCUGUAAAGCUCCUUCGACGAGUCGAGUAGUUUGGGAAUGCUGCUCUAAAUGGGAGGUAAAUUUCUUCUAAAGCUAAAUACCGGCCAGAGACCGAUAGCGCACAAGUAGAGUGAUCGAAAGAUGAAAAGCACUUUGAAAAGAGGGUUAAAUAGCACGUGAAAUUGUUGAAAGGGAAGCGCUUGUGACCAGACUUGCGCCGGGCGGAUCAUCCAGCGUUCUCGCUGGUGCACUCCGCCCGGCUCAGGCCAGCAUCGGUUUUCGCCGGGGGACAAAAGCUUCGGGAACGUAGCUCCCUUCGGGGAGUGUUAUAGCCCGUUGCAUAAUACCCCGGCGGGGACCGAGGACCGCGCUUCGGCAAGGAUGCUGGCGUAAUGGUCAUCAGCGACCCGUCUUGAAACACGGACCGAGGAGUCAAGCAUUAGUGCGAGUGUUUGGGUGUAAAACCCGCACGCGUAAUGAAAGUGAACGUAGGUGAGAGCUUCGGCGCAUCAUCGACCGAUCCUGAUGUUUUCGGAUGGAUUUGAGUAGGAGCAUUAACGCUUGGACCCGAAAGAUGGUGAACUAUACUUGAAUAGGGUGAAGCCAGAGGAAACUCUGGUGGAGGCUCGCAGCGGUUCUGACGUGCAAAUCGAUCGUCAAAUUUG